rnacentral:lncRNA from 1 species
UGUGACAACCUGAACGAAUCUCUAGAGACUUAUGCUGGGUCAAAAAGCCAACUCUAAAUCAUCAUACAUACUGUAUGAUUCCAUUUAUAUACCAUUCUUGAAAUGAUGAAAUUAUAGAAAUGGAGAAAAGAUUAGAGGUUAAGGAGAGGUAGCAAUGGAAGGGAAGUGAGUGUGGCUGUCAAAGGGCUGAGGGAUCCUUGUGAGAAUGGAAAUAUUUUGAGUCUUAGCUAUAUCAGUGUCAAUAUCCUGGUGUGAUAUAGUUCCAUAAUUUUGCAAGAUGUUACCAUUGGGAGAAACUAGAUAAACGGUACAUGGAAUCUCCAUUCUUUCUUACAACUACAUGAGAAUCUACAAUUACCUCAAAAUAAAAAGCUGAAUAAAGAAGUUGCCUGACCUUCAGUGACUUCCAGAACUGACCUGAAAAUAGAGAAAGGAGGAGAUUGAGAAUAGGAUUUGUUAACUUGAAGAAUGAUUUUCAGCACACUUCUCAAACUCUUCUGAAUUUUUUCCUUCUGAUUUUUAUUAUGGACUAUAGUGCAUUCUUAGGCUAUUUUUUUGGGGAUAAAAGUCACCUCUCCAUCAUAGGACUUCUGCUUUGCAAACCAUAGUAAUUUUAAAAUCUAUCAGCUGACUGAGAUUCCACAGGAUCGGAUUGUCGCAAUCUAUUUUUUUUUUUUUUUGAGGAAGAUCAGCCCUGAGCUAACAUCUGCCAUCAAUCCUCCUCUUUUUGCUGAGGAAGACUGGCCCUGAGCUAACAUCUGUGUCCGUCUUCCUCUACUUUAUAUCUGGGACACCUACUACCUCAUGGCCUGUCGAGCGGUGCCAUGUCCUCCCCUGGGAUCUGAACCGGUGAGCCCCGGGCCGCUGAAGCAGAACGUGCGCACUUAACUGCUAUUCCACGGGGCGGCACCUGUCACAAUCUAUUUUUAAAGUCAGAGAGGAGUUUUUAUUAUCCUUCUUUUCUCUUUUUCCUUCUUUUUUCCCUUAUUCUAUUUGAACCAAUAUUGUCC